rnacentral:lncRNA from 1 species
UCUUGUUUACCUGGUCCUCUGCCUUCAUUCGUGGAAAUAAACCACAAAUUCGAUCUAAUUCUCCCACAUCCCUUCUCUAUUCAAUGCACUCUCUCCCGAUUAUCUCAAAAAAACCUAAAACCUAAUACCUACUGCUUCCCCACCUCCACCUUCUUCGUCACAGUCUCCUUCAACAAAAACGAAAACCAAGCACCACUAACGCUUCUCAUUACCACCCCCCUUAAAUUUCGAUGACUACGUCACCGUCACCAUCAUAGCAGCACCGCCGCUGCCAUCGUGACCCACUACAACCCUCACCCAUUCUCUCUCUUAAAAAUUGAUGGAGACGAAAAAGGCUGGAUAGAAGCUUAAACAACAAAGCUUAUUCUCUUACCCAGUGGCUACAAAAUCGACUUGCUGCUAUGAUACUUACUUUACAAUCAUCAAAUGAACAAGAACUGUUAAACUGGUAAGCAUCUUCCCAUUGGUUAAUUAUUUUACUUUUGAUUUCUCAUAGUUUUUUUCCCAACUUAGGUUCGAGCUUUUCUAUGGUACUUAUUUACGCUUCUUGAAUAUAUGCUUUUUUGAAUAAUAGCUUUCCCAGGUGUGAAGAUUUAUCUGGAUCUUUUGAUCGACGUGGUUCUCAGAUUUGUCAUUCCACCCAUGGUCUUUCUCGCUUUCUCCCUCUUUUUUCUUUCGCUGAAAACCACCACCCUUUCUUUCUCUAUCUAUCUUUUUUUGUUUCUCUCUAAGAAAAAACCUAAAUGUAUGUGUGUUUAUAGGUCGUGGGAUGAAACCAUAUGAAAAUCCUUGGCUAGAGGUUAGUUUUUUUUUUUUUUUUUUUUUUCAGUAACCUUCUAUUUUCUUCAAUGUUCUUGAAGUGUAUUUGAGGGGGAAAUGAAAGAUAUUUACUUUACAAUCAUCAAAUGAACAAGAACUGUUAAACUGGUAAGCAUCUUCCCAUUGAUUAUUUAUUUGACUUUUGAUUUCUCAUAGGUUUUUUUCCCAAAUUUCUCAGGUUCGAGAUUUGUUGGGAAAAGUUAUCUCAGGUGAAGGUAAAUCUCCUCCUGAAGCUUCUAUUUACUUAAAAUUGUCUACAAUUCAGAAAAAGGUGGUGUUUUUAAUUAAUCUGAUGUAAAAAAACACUUUAAUUUGCUCAUGUUUUAGUUAAUUGGGUUUUGUAUACAAUAUUUUAGUUUUAAAUAAUGAGUUAAACUGUUAUUUUGCAGCUGUUAUAGAUAUUGCUUCAAAGAAAGGCCUUCAAGUAAAGGCAUUGUUUUACAUCUUAAGACAAUAUCUCAAGUCUUUAUGUUUCCUCUUGAACCCAUUGAUUUGUAAUGUUAUAAUGAAGUUGAGUCUUAUUUUGACAUUUGUUUGUAGGGAUUGUUUUCUGCAAGUUGUUUGAUUGGAUUUGG